UGCAGGGAGGUGCUCAGAACUUAAGAGUGAA
rnacentral:piRNA from 1 species